rnacentral:misc_RNA from 1 species
UCCGGCUUAUCACCGGCAGUCGCCUUAGAGUGCCCAACUAAAUGAUGGCAACUAAGGCCGAGGGUUGCGCUCGUUGCGGGACUUAACCCAACACCUCACGGCACGAGCUGACGACAGCCAUGCACCACCUGCGCAGAAGUCCCUUACGGGAGGUUCUCACUUUCGUGAGAAUUUCCUCUGCAUGUCAAACCCAGGUAAGGUUCUUCGCGUUGCCUCGAAUUAAACCACACGCUCCGCUGCUUGUGCGGGCCCCCGCCUAUUCCUUUGAGUUUCAGCCUUGCGGCCGUACUCCCCAGGCGGGGCACUUCAUGCGUUAGCGCCGGCACCCAGGGGGUCGCUCCCCCAAGCACCUAGUGCCCAUCGUUUACGGCGUGGACUAC